AUUGAACGCUGGCGGCAGGCCUAACACAUGCAAGUCGAGCGGAGCGGCGGACGGGUGAGUAAUGCCUGGGAAUCUGCCUGGUGGUGGGGGAUAACGUCCGGAAACGGGCGCUAAUACAGCAUACUAUCAGAUGAGCCUAGGUCGGAUUAGCUAGUUGGUGGGGUAAAGUCCUACCAAGGCGAGGAUCCGUAACUGGUCUGAGAGGAUGAUCAGUCACAAUUGAACUGAGACACGGUCCAGACUCCGACGGGAGGAAGCAGUGGGGACUAAUGGACAAUGGACGAAAGCCUGGUCCAGCCAUGCCGCGUGUGUGAAGAAGGUCGGCGGAUUGUAAAGCACUUUAAGUUGAGAGGCGUUACCAACAGAAUAAGCACCGGCUAACUUCGUGCCAGCAGCCGCGGUAAUAC
rnacentral:rRNA from 1 species